UACGUAGGGUGCAAGCGUUGUCCGGAAUUAUUGGGCGUAAAGAGCUCGUAGGCGGUUUGUCGCGUCUGCUGUGAAAACUCGGGGCUUAACUCCGGGCCUGCAGUGGGUACGGGCAGACUAGAGUGCGGUAGGGGAGACUGGAAUUCCUGGUGUAGCGGUGAAAUGCGCAGAUAUCAGGAGGAACACCGGUGGCGAAGGCGGUUCUCUGGGCCUUACCUGACGCUGAGGAGCGAAAGCGUGGGGAGCAAACAGG
rnacentral:rRNA from 1 species